rnacentral:rRNA from 1 species
AAAACGAUGAACGCGUCGACAGCAGCUGUACCGACUUGGCGCUGGCCCAUAUGUUGAAGUUUUGGCGUGGCUGGAUCACCUCCUUAAGCCGAAUUCUGCAGAUAUCCAUCACACUGGCGGCCGCUCGAGCAUGCAUCUAGAGGGCCCAAUUCGCCCUAUAGUGAGUCGUAUUACAAUUCACUGGCCGUCGUUUUACAACGUCGUGACUGGGAAAACCCUGGCG